rnacentral:rRNA from 1 species
AAUUACAUUUAUUCAAAAAUCAAAAUUUAAUCUCGCAACUCAAUCCUUUCGUACUAGAAUUACACAAAAUAUUUAAGAUAGAAACUGACCUGGCUCACGCCGGUCUGAACUCAAAUCAUGUAAGAAUUUAAUAGUCGAACAGACUAACAAAUAAAAUUUUUACUUCUAAUUGUAUUCUUAAUUCAACAUCGAGGUCGCAAUCUUUAUUUUCAAUAUGAACUAUCCAAUAAAAUUACGCUGUUAUCCCUAAGGUAAUUUAAUCUAUUAAUCAAAAAAAAAGAUCACAAUAAUAUUUAUAAAUAAUUUCAAAUUCAAUAAAUUCCUCUUAUUAUUAAACUGCCCCAGCCAAAUUCAUCCAACCUAAAACCAUAAAAAUUAAAAUUUAAUCUUAAAUUAAUAAAUAAAAAUCUAUAGGGUCUUCUCGUCCCCAAAUUAAAUUUUAGCAUUUUUACUAAAAAUUUAAAUUCAACACUUAAUUCUAAAACAGUUGAUUUCUCAUUAAAUCUUUCAUUCCAGUCUCCAAUUAAAAGACUAUUUAUUAUGCUACCUUAGCACAGUUAAAAUACUGCGGCUCUUUAAUCGUUAUCAGUGAGCAGAUUUAAUUUUACAUUCAAUUCAAAAAACCAUGUUUUUGCUAAACAGGUGGAAAUCACAUUUGCCAAAUUCUUCAAAAUUAAAUAUAUUAUUUUAUAAUCAGUCUACUAAUUUUAAUAUAAAUUCUAAAAUUAUUAAUUCAAUUCAAUCAUGAAAUAAUCAUUUAAAUUUAAAUAAAUACAAAGAAAAAUCAUAAAAUAUUUAUUAAAAAUUAUAAAUUAUUAAAAAUUCUAUUUAUAAAACUUUAUCUCCCUUAAAUUUUUAAUAUAAAAAAAAUUUAAAAUUAUCUUUAAAUUUAUUUUCAUUAAAUUAAUUUAAUUAAUAAUAAUCUUAACUAUCUAAUUUAAUAAUGAAUUAAACUCAUUUAUUUCACAACUAAAUAUCAACUUAAACGAUUAACUUUUCAUUCCAAUAUAAAAUUUAUUAAAUAUUUUUCACGUAUAAUAAAAAUUCUAUAUAAAUCUUAAAUCUUUGAGAUUUUAAAUUAAUUUAAAUUAUUUCAUUAAACCCUGAUACAAAAGGUAUUAAAAAUCAAUUAUACUUUUCAUUAAAUAAAUCAUUUCUCUUUCAAUAAAAUCCACUAUAAUCAUUAUAUUUUAUUUCACUAUACAUUAAACCAUUUUUACUUAAAUUAUUUUCUAAAAUUUAAAUUAAUCCUCACAAACAAAACAAUAAUAAUAAAAUUU